CAGAUCUACUCGCUAGAGAGUAGAGGCACAGGCGCACAGCGGCAAUGCAAUGCCAUCAUAAACCCGUGCAGGUGAGGUGCAAGGCCCUGGCUUUCAUUGAUGGGAGAGGUAGAAAAUAGUUUAACGCCAGCUUUUCUCUUGUGCAGGGUUUUCUCUUGGUAUGGUACUGUACUUGCUGGUAAAUUGCAUUUUCAACGCAAAAGGUAGGCGCUGGUUACAGAAAAGGCAGCGAGCCCAGUCCAAUGGAUGACAAAUUGACCGGCGGGCCGAGGCUACAGCACGGGUGGGGUGGAGUUUAGUAGCUGCUCUCGCAGAUAAUCCCAGUCCUCUUUUUAUAUUUCAACUGUGAUGGAUAGGUCCACAUGGAAUGGUGGUGAUGGAAAGAGCAAGUUGAGAUUCUUGCUGCGUCCUCAGGGCUGGGCAUUUGAUUAAGGUUAUUAGCUCUGUCCAGUGCUGUGGAUCUAGCGGCAGUAAAUUUGUUUAAUUAAUUAACCAGGGAGGACAGAUUUGGCCAUGUUUCUGGCAAUCAUGCCUUCUUGUUCUCAUGAUCCACGAGAGACUUUGGGGGAAAGCUUGCGGUGGCUCCUUGUGCUUGUCACUUCUCAGGUUUCUACUAUUCUAAACUGACUGUAAUGCUGACAGUGAUCUCUUCCUCCAUUUUUUAAAACGGAGGUAAAAUAUUUGCCUCAUGUAUUAAAUAAGGAGGACAAAGAGUUUGUUACAACACACAACCAAGUUAUGGCGUGGCAAUUAUUCGCGCAAUAAGAAAGACCCUAGCUUCUUUGCCCCGGUUCUGAUCCAAAGAUUGGCCUCAUCAAUAAUGAAGUUGAGCAAGAUUUGCGGAGGUGCGCUCUUUUGCCGGAACACUCUUGCAUUACGCUCGUUCCAAAUGAUCCAUGACACCAUCAUGGUGAUCGAUGCCUUUGUUUUUCGGUCGACGAUGCCCACGGCGCUCGUGCUCGCCCACCACGCCUUAACGGAGUCAAACAAGUGCGAGGCGGACGUGUCGAAGUUUUGGAUGCGGAAUUUCUGAUUCACCAAGUUCCAAAGCGUGAGAGUAUAACGACAUCUAAAGAAAAGAUGUGGACCACAUUCCUGUACGCCCUGCAAGGGGGCAUGGGCCAUAGUUUGGCCAUCCACGCUUAACCAAUCUAUCAGCCGUCCAGAUCCUGUCUUGAAGCGCAAGCUAG
rnacentral:lncRNA from 1 species